AUGGUCGAAGGCUCUGAGUCGGACAUCUCCAAUCUUAAGUUCCUUCUCCUCUGCUUCCAACUAAUGUCUGGCCUUAAGAUAAACUUCGACAAGAGUGAUGUGAUGGUGAUGGGCUACUCUGAGACCGAGUCCCUUGCCAUUGCUAACAGGCUCAAUUGUCGCCUUGGGUCCUUCCCCACGACCUACUUGGGAACACCCAUUAGCGACUCUCGGCUCACUGCCGCGGACCUCCGCUCGACCGUGUCCAAGCUUCAGACGCGCAUCGAACCUUGGCAGGGUAGGUGGUUGCCAAAGGCGGCUCGGACUAUUCUCAUUAACUCAUCCCUCUCCAGCCUCCUCUUGUUUCUCAUGAGCUUCUACAGCCUACACGAGACUCUGCACCAUGAGAUCGUCAAAAUCCAGUCCCGCUUCUAUUGGGUUGGCGACAACAACAAGCAGAAAUAUCAUAUGGUCAGCUGGCCUAAAAUUUGCAAGCCCAGGUAA
rnacentral:rRNA from 1 species